rnacentral:lncRNA from 1 species
AUGUCAUACAUAGUUUUAUACUGCACCACUUCAAAUUUGCAAUUCUCUCUUAUUUCGUUCGUAUUCCCUGCCUCCAGCGUUAGACCCAGACGCACAAAGGAAGCCCCUCACCGGAACUCAAGACCAUGUGGGCCGAUCUUCCCGUCUGGCCAAGACAGCACAGCAGCUGAGAACUCGGUUCUGGAGUCCCUCCCACCUUCUAGCUUUACGACCCUGAGUGAUGCAUUUUCUGCUCCAUCUGAGGCUCAUCUGCCAGCCGCCCUUGCUAACAGCCACCUCCAGGAUCUCACCCAGGAAGCUAUACCACCAGGCCCCAGAGGAGAGAGAAACCAGAGGCCAACGCAACUCGUUCUUUCCUCAGGAAUCUGUCUUCAACCAGCCCUGUGGGGCCUCUGUGCAGUGUGUGUAGGGGGUGGGGUUGGCAGGGGGAGCUCAUUUCUGUCAGUAAAUGACUCUGAGGGUUUCUUGCCCCGUAGCUGGUGGCUCGGCAACCUUGUGCUGAUUUCAUGUGAUGCUGGGGGAGUUUUACCUCGGAGAGACCAGGCCACGCCGUGGGAUCCGUGGGCUUCUGGGGAACCAGGCUGCUCUCUGGUAUUCCAGAACGCGGUUCUGUGUCCAGGCACACACUCCCAGCCAACAGCCCAGAGACCUUUUUCUUUUUCUGUUUUUCUGUUUGUGAUUGGAAAGGCCUGUGCUGUCACCCUGUGUUUCCAGGGACCAGCACAGCAGUUCCUCUUAAGACUCAUGGUUGGGUCCACCCUCCCAAGAGGCCCGUCCUCCAGGGAAGCAUCUGAGAAGGAGCGUGUCAGCCUCUCUUGGAACAAACAUCUCUCAGGAAAGGCGCAAGGAUCCAAUUAUGCUCUAACUGUUGAGUUGCACCUUCUCACAUUGGACAGUGGCCCUGCUUCAUUUCCCAGUGGGUUCCCAGGGGCUGGCAACAGAACAGGUUCUUCAUCAGUGUUCGGGGACUGCACAAACCCCCGAUUCACCACAGAGUCAUUUAGAUGGUGCUAAACCAGUCCACUCAUCGGUCAAAUGGUUUUGACCAACAGAGCCGCCAUCUUGGGUCUCCUACUGUGGGCCCAGGGUCGAUACCUGCGAUCCCACGGGAGUGCAUUCUCCAGGGGAAGUGACUGAGGUUCAGAAAGGCGGCAUUGUUCUUGCAGAGUUGACCCUGGCCCUCAACAGCGUUGAGCCGGAGGGCCCGGGAGUGGGAUGAGUCUUCUUGGCCUCCUCAGAUCUCUGAGCUUUGAGAUUCUCAGGAUCCCCAUUGCCAGGGAGAUGAUGAUGACGAUGCUAUUGUAACUCUAAUGAUGAUUCUUGGGUCUGUGCCGUCCACUAUGCUGAACUUUCCUGUAUUUUGCCUUAAGUAAUACCCCUCCCCCGCCCCAUAGAGGGCCACUCCCCAUUUCACAGAGAAGCAAACUGAGGUCACUCUCAGGAACUAGGACUCAGUCCCUGUUCCAACCGAUAAGUUGCCGCUUAAUCCAAGGACACUCUGCUGCCUUCAGACACAGCUGACCACAGAAGGGUCUUCUGGAAUGUUCUAACGGUAGUCUGCCCUCGCAGCCUGCAGGGGUUUGCCCUCCAGACAUCAACAGGAGACUCUAUUUACUUCUGUCCAGAGCCCAGCGGGGCCUCCUUGUGCUGUGGCCCCCAGGUAAGUGGGACCCAGCGAGGGGCUGAGCUUUCUUUGACCCCUGGGGUCACCUUGGCAGGGAGGCUCCAGCCUCCCUUUGACUUGUCAGUGGAAUCCCUUCAAGUCACCCCAGUUUUCCUGUGUUUAAAAGGGGACUAAUCAUAGCUAAGCAGUUUGAAGUCGUGGUCUGAAAAGCAUCAUUAUUACUUGCCGGAGGAUCUUGGCAUCUCGGGGCCUCCAGAGAAAAAAGAAAGAAACCCACAUUGAUUUCUAAUGCAAAUUGGGUUUGAAGAGGGUCGCUGGGCUCUCUGCAGUUCCCAGUCACCCACAGAGGAGGGCACACCCCAGGGGGGACUGUUGCCUUGGGCAAAGAAUUUCCUCUCAUCAAGACAAAACCCAGACGUGGGGCGCUUCCCUUCCCUUGCUGACUCCGGAGCAUCCCGCUGGAAUGUGGCUCGGGUUGGAGCAGGAUUCUCUCCCUCCUCCUCUCUUCCCUCCCACCACCUCCAGCCGCUGUGUGCACGCUCACGGGGGCACACAGACACGCACACACCCACAUGCAUGCACAACUGCCCAUCCACAUGCAUGCGUGCACACACAGAGACCAGACUUACAGACGCUCACACACGCACGCGUGCAAGCACAUACAUGUACUUCCCUGUGUGGACACUCAUGCAACCUCGUGGCACAAGUGGCCCCACGCUGCUCACACUCACUGGCCCUUCCCCUGGUAGUGCUUGUCUCCUGGUGUGCCAAAAGACCCCUCUCUGCAGACCCUGGCACCCCUCCCACCCCGCCAGGAUGUCAGAGUCUCUUCCAUACCCUGAAUCCCCGACACAGAGCAGAGGCACCUCGGGUUGGAUGUAAGUUAGCUUCUCCUAAGCGGGCUAUCAACUUUGUCCUGCCGAAAACCCAAGGGAAAAAAGAAGAUUCUGGAAGGCUGACCCAGUUCCUGGCACUGGGCAAAGACUCUCACCCUCCGCACCACCGUGAGAGCUAAAGAUUCUCUUUCUCAUGCCUCAGAUGAUGAAAUCGAGGCAAGGAGCUCAAUGAUUCAUCGUGGAUGAAUCCAUUCUUUCAAAAACCGUGUAGGGACUACCUAGUCUGUGCCAGGCCUGGUGCUGGUGGCGGGGGAGGCAGCGCAGGACAGGGCGGAGAGGCUGGCCCUGCACGUACACUGGCAAGGCUGGUACGUGGGGCAGCUGGGAGGCCCCCGUGGUUCUUUCAACUCCAGAGUCCUUGAUUUUGUGCCUUCGGGGGCCACUUCCUCAAUAAUUGUAUUUUAUGGCUGCAUUGGGAUACAGACAGAUGUCAUCCAGGCCAAAUGAAUUCACCCUUUUCAACCCUAAAAGGCAUUUUCCUUCAGAGUUGAAAGAAACUGAGGCCCAUUCAGGGACCCUAGGCACUGUGUCUGCUGUGCAUAAUGGGUCAGCCAGCCCUGUGUUCCUCAACACCAGAGUGGGGUUACCUCCCCUUAAGAAAGUGAGUCCUGGGGCACUUGGGUGGCUCAGCGGUUGAGCAUCUCUCUUUAGCUCAGGGGUCUUGGGGUCGAGUCCCACAUCGGGCUCCCCGCAGGGAGCCUGCUUCUCCCUCUGCCUGUGUCUCUGCCUCUGUCUCUGUCUCAUGAAUAAAUAAAUAAAAUCUUUAAAGAAGAAGGAGGAG